rnacentral:lncRNA from 1 species
GAAAAGCAUCAUGAAACUAGAUUAACACUCAAUAGAGCAGGGCUGUAGGGCUCUAGAAGCAGGUUCAAGAAAGUAUUUGUCAAUGGUUGCGAUAUUUAUUUUCCGCAUGGUUCAUAUUCACAUGCUCACAACCACAAUGCAUCUGACUGCAAUAAUGUGCUAGUAAUUUAUGUCAGUGAUCAGUUUACUUACAGUGAAGCCAGAAAUUCCAGGGAGUAGAUGUAAAGUAUCUGUAUAUAGAAUUCAGAACUGAAGAUAUUUAUUAAAAUUUGAUUUUUUUUCUUGAUAGUAUUUUUAUGUACUAAAUAUUUACUCUAAUACCAAUGCCAUAUUUUGGUAAACUAGAGAGACAUAAUUAGAGCUGCAUGCUUUGUUCUGUACAUAGAGGAGAAAUUUAAGCAAAAUAAAGCAGCCAAAUCAAAGAACUAAAUUUGAACAAAAUUGAUGUUAUGCAAACCUUUUGCAAUUUUAGAGGAGUUGAUGCAAAGUUGAUAACUUGUUCCCCUUCAAUGAAACAUAAAAUUGUAUGGGCUCAGACAGCUAGCUGUUUAAUGAAAUAGUAAAUUAGAAAUACCAGAAAAGAAGUAUGUGAAAGAAAUGAGUAUUUCAUGAAUUACACUUAAAAGGAAAAAGAAAGAUAAAUGUUGUCAGCAUAAUGAUUUUGAAGUCAGUUUCUGAACCAUCUAAAAUGUAAAUAUGUUAACCUCUCAACACAGAAAAUGUGCAAAAACUUUUUGCAUUUUAACCAUGGUAAAAAUAACAGCUUCACCUAUUGACUCUAUACCUCUAAAGAAUCGCUGCUACUUGGUGCAAGACUUUUGAAGGUCAAAUGAAUUAGGUGAAUUCCAGAUUGGAAAUCUCUGAGCCUCAAGCAGAAAUCUUUUUUUUUUUUUUCCCCUAAAAUUUCAGAAUGAAAUUCUCUCUAGUUCGCUUGCGUGUGCAUGCAUCUAGUCCACAGGGGAUUACAAAGAAAGCUGGUCACACACAUACACCUCUCAUAAAGAUGUAUAUAUUCAUUAUACUUCUGAUCUUUGAGCUUCCUUUUCUACUAAGCUAAAAAUUCCUUUUUAUCAAAGUGUACACUACUGAUGCUGAUUGUUGUAUUGGGAGCACGUAGCAAUAAAAAUGUUAACAAAGUAU